AGAGUUGAUCAUGGCUCAGACGAACGCUGGCGGCACGCUUAACACAUGCAAGUCGAACGGAGUUAUUUGGAGCUUGCUCUGAAUAACUUAGUGGCGGACGGGUGAGUAACACGUGAGCAACCUGCCUUUGAGAGUGGAAUAGCUUCUGGAAACGGAUGGUAAUACCGCAUAACAUUACCGGACCGCAUGAUCUGGUAAUCAAAGAUUUAUCGCUCAAAGAUGGGCUCGCGCCUGAUUAGAUAGUUGGUGGGGUAACGGCCUACCAAGUCGACGAUCAGUAGCCGGACUGAGAGGUUGGACGGCCACAUUGGGACUGAGACACGGCCCAGACUCCUACGGGAGGCAGCAGUGGGGAAUAUUGCACAAUGGGCGGAAGCCUGAAUGCAGCGAUGCCGCGUGGAGGAAGAAGGUUUUCGGAUUGUAAACUCCUUAUCUGAGGGACGAUAAUGACGGUACCUCAGGAGAAAGCUCCGGCUAACUACGUGCCAGCCGCGGC
rnacentral:rRNA from 1 species